GCGGAGGAGCAUGUGGUUUAAUUCGAUGAUACGCGAGGAACUUACCUGGGCUCGAACGUAAGAUGACUGUAGGUGAAAGCUUACAUCUCUUCGGAGCAUUUUACGAGGUGCUGCAUGGUUGUCGUCAGCUCGUGCCGUGAGGUGUCGGGUUAAGUCCCAUAACGAGCGCAACCCCUACCUUUAGUUGCCAUCAGGUAAUGCUGGGGACUCUAAAGGAACUGCCUACGCAAGUAGUGAGGAAGGCGGGGAUGACGUCAAAUCAGUACGGCCCUUACGUCCAGGGCUACACACGUGCUACAAUGGCCGAUACAGAGGGCAGCUACCUGGUGACAGGAUGCAAAUCUCCAAAGUCGGUCUCAGUUCGGAUCGGAGUCUGCAACCCGACUCCGUGAAGUUGGAUUCGCUAGUAAUCGCGCAUCAGCCAUGGCGCGGUGAAUACGUUCCCGGGCCUU
rnacentral:rRNA from 1 species